GUAGAGAUGGGGUUUUGCCAUGUUGGCCAGGCUGGCCUUGAACUCCUGACCUCAGGUGAUCCGCCUGCUUCGGCCUCCCAAAGUGUCGGGAUUACAGAUGUGAGCCACCGCGUCCAGCCUGUUGAGGUAUUUUGAUGUCCUUUGUGGAAAGGCCUUAUCACCUGGCUGGCACACAGCACUGUGGGAACCUCUGGUGGGGCUGUGUGAGGAAUUAGGGUGACCUUGACUUCAGCCAGGCCAUGUGGGUCUUGACUCUGUCACUUACGGUGUCACCUGGGGAAUCCCUUCCCUUCUUUGGCCUCAGUGUCCUCCUCUGGGAAGUGAGGGUAAAAAGUCUCUCCCUUGUAAGGUUGUUAGAGGGCUCGGCAAGGAGAUGGAUGUGGAGGGGCCUGGGGUGUGGAACAUAGCAUACACUUGGUGGGGCAAGCUAUCAGGGUUAUUUAUUACUUAAAUCAUUUUAAUUGUGGGUCAUAAAAUUUCUGUUUUUCCAGAGGUUUCUCCAGGACGUCACCUGUAUGAGGUACACAGUGUGAUGACACACUCUGUGCUUUUCCUACUUGUGUCCACGGCUCAAGCCUGGAAGAAGCCUUAGGACGUGGGGGAAAUGUCUAACGUGGAGUCCACCUGCUGAGCAGGACCGGGUGUGAAGGAAGAAGCUUUGUUCUGAUUCCUCAUGGCCCAGCCACCCCUCGCCUGAGCUGAGCCUGGCCACAGGGCCCGCCUGCAGGAAGGGCUGGCCCAUGGCUUCACACUGGGCUCAGGCUGCGCUAAGAGCCCCGGGUGAGGACCUCCAAGCCCAGGAAGCCUCAGUUGGCCAAAGUGCUAGAUGCGUGUGGUCUGCUUUCAUCCCCGCUUCCCUCAGAGCUUGCAUUUUCCAAAUUCAAGAGAGGCUCCACCUUCAAGAAGACCGGCCUGUCCCUGUUAUUUAUGUGUCCCCCUACCAUAUCUCCCUUUGUUCUGCAGAGCGGUACGCAUAAAAAGCUUUUGGGGAAGGGGAGAAGUGUGGCUCAGUGACUUGCACAGGAAAUUGGAAAUUGGAUCCCCAGGUCUACCCCCACUCCUCUGACUCAUGCUUAAACAAACCCAACACAUGCCCUGACCUUUGCUCUCUCCCUCUAUUGCAGGCCAUACCUGCCAGCAGCCUGCUCUCCCGGCCAUGCUGCGGUUCACAAAAGUCCAGCAUUUGGCUAGCUUCCUGGGGGAAUGAAUCUUUCAGAGCCAAACUAAUGCUAUGCAUGCAGCUUAUGAUUUUUUUUUUUUUGUCUUCAACAAAGUGAAUACUUACUUUUUUUUUGCUCUUUAAAUUGUCAUCCAUUAUAUUCAUCAACACAGAGAGAUGGAACAUUUGGCAAAAUUAUUUUAAGUAGCACUCCAACCUGUGAUCGUAAUUUCAAAUCAAGGAAUUUGCUGAGCAGCUGUGGGGAAGAACAAAAGGCCUGAGAGUGAUUUAGGGCCUGGGGGAGGGGAGGCGGUGGAGUUGAAGGCCCCAGCCGGUAGCAGAAACAGCUGGGGAGGUAGGUUGUGCACACCCCGUGGGGGAGCCGGCCUUCUCAGCCCUGCCAUCCCAUCCACACGUGCCUCAUCAGAGAGUUUUCGUCUCCUGAACAUACCACAUGCAGCACUUUAAAAUAGAUAAACUAAGAGGAUUCAGAUUCAGUUUGAUACCCUCGCUGAGAGCUUCGGCUCGGGAGUUGGACAGGCCUGGCCUUGAAUCCUGGCUCUGCCUCUCACCAGCCUCAGUUGCAUCAUCUGUAAAAUGGGGCUAAUGUAGCAAUCACUUCGCAGAUAUUACUAUGAGGUUGAGUGUUUAUUUGACCCAGUCACUGGCAUAGAACAAGUGUUCAAAAUACUAUUAUUAUCACCAAUAUGCAGAAAUGUUCAAUGUAUACACUCGGUUUUUGCAACCAAUUUAUUCAAUGAACAUCUAUUGAGCACCUGUUAUGUGUUAGGUGCAGGGCUGGGUGUUGUGUGGGUACAAACACAUAAAGCAUAGGAAUUAAUAUGCUAUUAGAUAAACUAAAAAGACUUCUAUUGACUUAAAAAGUAAUAAUGACUUCUAAGCAUAUUUAAGUAAUUUACGAAAGAGCCUUUCUUUUUUUUAUUUUUGAGAUGGAGUCUUGCUCUGUCUCUCAGGCUGGAGUGUAAUGGUGCUAUCUCAGCUCACUGCAACCUCUGCCUCCCGGGUUCAAGCAAUUCUUGUGCCUCAGCCUCCAGAGUAGCUGGGUUUAUAGGCGCGUGCCACGACGCCCAGCUAAUUUCUGUGUUUUUAGUAGAAACGGGGUUUCACCAUGUUGCUCAGGCUAUCUUGAACUCAUGACCUCAGGUGAUCCACCUGCCUCGGCCUCCCAAAGUGCUGGGAUUACAGGUGUGAGCCAUUGCACCCGGUCAAAAGAGGCUUUCUUAACAGAUGGUCUAUUAGAAGCAAUUUGAAAAGAAAAUAUAGAGUUGAAAAAAAUAAAAGGGAAGCUGCAUUCUUUUUAAUUGUUUUUGAACUUGUUGCUUUUCAACACAGCUAUUAUCUAAAUUAACUUAAUUUCUUAAAAUAAGCCCUGCUUGAUACCCGGGAACCUUCAAUCAACUAAUUUGCAGAUAAUCAGACCUAUUUACAAAUAGUCUGGUUUGUCUGAGUGACUUUCAGUGACACAUGCAUACUCAGAAAGGGUAUCAUUUGCCAGGGAUUAGUCAGUUCUGCUGAAUUACAGUCUUCAGAAUGAGAAGUCAUCUAGUUCAACCUUUCAUCCUUUUAAUAGAAUUUCUGGUGGAUAACAGCUGAGCUUCUCCUCCGACUCUGCUAGGAAUGGAGAACUUACUACUUCAAAACGUAGAUGCUGCCUGGGUUGAGCAGCUCUAAAUGUUCAAGAUGGAAUCAUUAAUAGGAAACUAAUUGAAAAGAAUUUGCAUAGCACGUCUCAAGGACAAAAAUCCCUUCUGUUGUUUUUUCCUUUUGUCUUGGUCUGCAUCUCUGUCAUUUGGUGGUGUUUGGACUGCCUGUCUGUCUUCCCUUUUUACUCCGAGCGGCGGCCUGCCCUCUGCCCCCUGCCCCCAGGGGAACAACAAUGGCCCUGAUCACAAUUGGGUGGCCAAGCAUAUCAUGCCGUGGAAGUUUGGAGCCAACACUCAGUUCCAGUUGCUCCUCUCCUUAUUCUCUAGGGUGGCUCCACUAGGUUCUGCUUUCUCAGAAAACAGCAGUGAACUUUGUUCAGCCGAAACCCUAUUUCCCAAGCUGAUACUUGCUCACUGGCCUCCCCUCCUCCAGCUGCUCCCAACUGCUGACCACUUCUUGAGCGCACUGCUAGCUGCUUCUGCUGUUCCAGCACUUCCUGGAAGGCAGCUGCAAGCAGCCGAGGCAGAUGGAGCCCAAGCCCUGUUGCUUGUGGUCUUGGCUUACUGAGCCUGAAUCCACGACCGGAUCAUUAGAAAAGGGACGGUGUGUGUGCCUACCUUUGAAGCCAGUAGGCCAAAAGAAGGGUGAGCAGGACAGCGCCAUAACACCUAGAGUUACUGUGUUUGGUUCACACUUCUGGUUUCCUGCAGAAUUGCUAGAAUUUUUAAAAAAAGGAAGCAGCAAGUUGAGAGCAACUAAAGUAAAAAGAGAAAAGUGAUACAAAGGGAAAGGUUUAUUUUUGGAGCUCUUAGAUUCUGAAACUCCUUCUGACUCUUUUAUCCUUUUACCUCUCCCUUUCUCCUCACUGGGCUCUUUGUCCUCAUGGGGACUGUGCAUCUCUGGUCUCACUCUAGCUCUGGGUCCCUUAGGCUCUUCUGGUUUUCUGGCUCCUGGAGUGAGCCCUUUCAAUGAGGCCCUCCCUCAAUUUCCCAUCCCUCUUGUUCUUCUGCCAUCCAGACUCAUCACAGCCCAAAUCUGAGACCAGCUGGCUGCACCGCUGGCUACUCAGAGCGGCUGGAGACAGCCAUGCCCUGGGGCGACUUGUUCCAUGGUGAUCUGACUGGUUCAUGCAGGGGUCUCGGACCUCACGGACCUCAUCAGGAGCAUCAAAUGGGGUUUUUUUUGGCCGGAAUGAUAUUUAAAACAAUUUGAUUUAGUUAUGAGCAUUUAAGAAAUAGGAGGUCACCAGAAAAUCCAGAGUUUUAGCUCGGCAAGCAGAGAUGGAGAGCUGGCGGUACCCGGUCUUUACCCAUUCUGGAAGGACCACUGGCUGGAGCUGAGAGGCAGUGGCUUCUCUGACAUGGGGCAUACACUCCAUUUUGCUACCUUCUCUGCAACAACAGAGAGUGUCUUCCUGGACCCCAAACUGAGAAUCAGAUGCCUUUAAUCAACGGGCUUGCUUCCUCCCACUCCCCAGACAACCUGAUUCAUGAGAUGCCUGCCUGUUCCCCGUGGGCAUCUGAGUUUGCAGCCCAUGCUCAGUAGAGUUUAUUCGGCAAUCCUUUUCCUGACCUAUAGCAGACUCCUAGCCCACCACAUUUCUAAUGCAGCUGUUGCAAGUCUUGUCCAGACCUUUCAGACCCUUGAUCUCUCCGGGAGAUUGUGCCUCAUACAUUAUUGAAAAGAUUGAGGCCACACAACAUGUGCUCUAAUGCCUCAGCUUUCUGCCUUUCUGCUUCUAAGGUCUCUGUUCUCUCUCCAUUCCGUCCUCCUUCCCUCCUUUCUGACUCUCUUUUUCUUUUUUUCAUCACUUUUAAAAAUUGUAAAAUAGAAUGUACGUACAGAAAAAGGAGGCCGAGGCAGGAGAAUCACUUGAACCUGGGAGACAGAGGUUGCAGUGAGGCGAGAUCACGCAUUGCACUCCAGCCUGGGCAAUAAGAGUGAAACUCUGUCUCAACAAAAAAGAAAAACAAAAAAGAACCAAAAAAAACCCCCCAAAACCAAAGAUAUACAGUUCAGUGAUUUAUCACAAAGUCAACACCAGUGUCAUUAUCAGCCUGAUCGAGAACUAGAACUCUGCCCUCCCUCACCCUGGACGUACUCUUCAUUCCCCCGUCCACCUCUACCCUCCCUCCCUAUCAGAGGCGACCAUUAUCCUGACUUUUUAUGUAAAGCAUCUUUGUUUAUCUUUACCACCUAAAUAUAUAUAUAAACAGAUGUUUAUAGCAGUUUUAUUCAUAACUGUAAAAACUUGAAAGCAACCAAGAUGUCCUUUAGUAGGUGAAUAGAUAAUAAACUGGGAUACAUUCAGGCAAUGCACCAUUAUUCAGUCCUCAAAAGAAAUGAGCUAUCAAGCCAUGACAUGAUAUGGAAGAACUUUAAAUGCAUAUUACUAAGUGAAAGAAGACAGUCUGAAAAGACUAUAUGCUGUGUGAUUCCAACUAUAUGUCAUUGUGGAAAAGGCAAAACUGCAGAGGCAGUAAAAGGAUCAGUAAUUGGCCGGGCGCAGUGGCUUACAUCUGUAAUCCAAGCACUUGGGGAGGCUGAGGCGGGCGGACCAUGAGGUCAGGAGAUCCAGGCCAUCCUGGCUAACACGGUGAAACUCCGUCUCUACUAAAAAUUCAAAAAAUUAGCUAGGCGUGGUGGCAUGCGCCUGUAGUCCCAGUUACUCGGGAGGCUGAGGCAGGAGAAUCGCUUGAACUCGAGAGGCGGAGGUUUCAGUGAGCCAAGAUGGCGCCACUGCACUCCAGCCUGGGCAACAGAGCAAGACUCCGUCUCACACACACAAAAAAAGAAUCAGUAAUUGCCAGGGAUUAGGGGGAGGGAGGGAUCAAACAGUGCAGCACAGAGGGUUUUUAGCACAGUGAACUACUCUGUAUGAUACUAUCAUGAUGGGCACCUGUCAUUAAACAUUUGUCAAAACUUGUAGAAUGUACAAGACCAAGA
rnacentral:lncRNA from 1 species